rnacentral:rRNA from 1 species
UACGUAGGGUGCAGGCGUUAAUCGUAAUUACUGGGCGUAAAGCGUGCGCAGGCGGUCUUUUAAGUCAGAUGUGAAAUCCCCGGGCUUAACCUGGGAACUGCGUUUGAAACUGGAAGGCUUGAGUGUGGCAGAGGGGGGUGGAAUUCCACGUGUAGCAGUGAAAUGCGUAGAGAUGUGGAGGAACACCGAUGGCGAAGGCAGCCCCCUGGGCUAACACUGACGCUCAUGCACGAAAGCGUGGGGAGCAAACAGG